rnacentral:rRNA from 2 species
AAUAGUGUAGGAGAGUAAGAAGCCAUCCCAUCAGUUAGUAAGUAGGGUAAGGGCCUACUUAGACGAAGACGGGUACGGGGAAUUAUCGUUUGAUUCCGGAGAGGGAGCCUGAGAGACGGCUACCAGGUCCAAGGACAGCAGCAGGCGCGAAAAUUACCGCAGCCUGCGUUCAGGGCGGUAGUAAGGAGACGUGAAAACAAUGUGCGGGCAAAAAACGCACUAGAUACAGGAGGACAAGACUGGUGCCAGCACCCGCGGUAAUACCAGCUCCUGGAGUGUCUAUGAUGAUUGCUGCAGUUAAAGAGUUCGUAGUCGAAGUGGUUAUAACGGUGUAACAGGCCUUCUCUCAAGGAGGGUUAUGCGCCGUGAUUCCAUGGAAUAAGGAGCGUUUAGGGGCCAGGUUAUUAAGCGAGCAGGGGUGAAAUCUGGUGACUCGCUUAGGAGCAACAGAGGCGAAAGCGCUGGCCAGGAGCGAAUCCGAUGAUAAAGGACGUAGGCUAGAGGAUCGAAGACGAUUAGAGACCGUUGUAGUUCUAGCAGUAAACGAUGCCGAUACCGUGGUGCGGAUACGCGACGCGGAAGAGAAAUCGAGUAGGGCCCUGGGGAGAGUACACGCGCAAGCGAGAAAUUUAAAGGAAAUUGACGGAAGAACACCACAAGGAGUGGAGUGUGCGGCUUAAUUUGACUCAACGCGGGACAGCUUACCAGGCCCGACGGCCGGACGAGUGUUGUACACGAUAGGUCGAAGAGUGGUGCAUGGCCGUUAACGACGAGUGAGGUGACUUUUGGGUUAAAUCCGGGAAGUAGUGAGACCCCUACCGAAAGGGACAGGUGCCGAAAGCACAGGAAGGAAGGGUCAAGAACAGGUCAGUGAUGCCCUCAGAUGGUCUGGGCUGCACGCGCACUACAGUGGUCAUAGAAAUGAAACGAUAGAAUUAAAGAUGAUCGAGAGGGAAUGAGCUUUGUAAGAGGCUCAGGAACGAGGAAUUGCUAGUAAUCGCGGACUCAUUAAGACGCGAUGAAUACGUCCCUGUUCUUUGUACACACCGCCCGUCGUUAUCGAAGAUGGAGUCAGGCGCGAACAAGCGAGAGCGAGUGAGUGCAGGAUUCUAGAUGUGAUACAAGUCGUAACAAGGUAGCUGUAGGAGAACCUGUAGCUGGAUCA